CCCGGUUUGGCCUCAGCGUGUGGAGCACAUCCUGGCUUGGUUUGUUCCGACAGUCAAUGUCAAACUGCCUCAGGAUGAACUCUUCAUCAAUGUUCGAACUUCCCUGGAAGAAUAUCACAUUGCACGAACCGAAGGCGAAUGGAUUGUGAUUUUCAAGAUUUUGGACUUCGGGGAUUUCGAUCUUUCAAGAUCUCAACAUUCGGGAUCACAGUGCUCGGGGCCCAGGGAGAAAAUAACUGAUCAGCAAUACUAGUUGUCCUUCCAACAGACGUGUCUGCCACUGAUCAUUUCUUUAUUCACUCAUUCAGAAAGAUUUAUGGAGAGUCUACCAUGUGCCGAGCAUUGUUGGUACACACAGACAGAUAAAGUUCCUGCCAUUGCAGAGCUUUUAUUGCAGCGAGGAGCCCAGUGGUGACAGGCGCAAUGAUGAAUAAUGGAGCAUGGUACGGGAUAGAGAACGAAGGUGGAAGAGAAAUGCUGUUUUGCAUGGGCCUCUCCCAUCAGGGGACAUCUGAGCAAAGAUCUGAAGGACGUGAAGGAGUGAGCCGAGCAGCCAGCUGGGGCAGGUGCUCCAGGCAUGAGAAAGAGACUUGAACUGGACAUGCUCAUAAUGUCCACAGAACAGCCUGGGGGCCAGAGCGGCUGGAGGGGAGUGAGUGAGGGCAGAGGAGCAGGGGUGAGGUUGGAGCAGGAUCAGAGUAGGGGUGGGGUUGGAGAGCAGAACACACAGGGCCUUUCAGAUUCCAGCAAGGGCUCUGGCUUUAUCUGAGUGAGAAGGGGCCACUGAAGGGCUUUGAGCAGAGAACUAUCUUUCUGAACCACUGUCGCACUCUCUGUGCAGGGGGCAGGCUGCAGGGGUGCGGAGGAGGGAGCAGUCACUGCUACUUCCCCACCCAACUUCCAUUCUGCCCUUUUCCCUUUGGUCUAACAGAACCUGGGUUGUUUUCAAGGCUGCAAUGCCAACUAAGAAACUGACUUUUCUGGACUCCCUGGCAUCAAGGAGUGGCCAGAUAAAUGGGAUGUUUACUGGGAAAGGUAUUUUUCUCCCAAUUAAAAGAGUCAACUGGCACACA